CAAAAUGUAGCUUAACAAAAGCACCUGGCUUACACCUAGAAGAUUUCAGUUAAAACUGACCAUUUUGA
rnacentral:tRNA from 1 species